CUGUUAUUAAAUUUGGUUUGAUUCUACAUAUCAAUUUGUAUAGAUCUAAUGUUUUUGUAAGUUAUACUCUGUGUAUCUUGCCAGAGCACAGAAAUGCAAUUAAUUUUUCUAUAUUAGUUUUAUGGUAAGCUUGACAGAUUUUGCUAUUCGUUUUUUAAUAUAUUGGUUAAGCUAUAGCAACACAGAGACUCAAAAUUAGAAUGGCUUUUCACGAGAUGGAAUACAGUUUCUCUCUCAUGUCAUAAUUCAAGUUAGGAAGUUCUCUUCUGUGACAUCAUGUAAGCAGGACCGUCUCUCAGAGCAAACACAGUGGCUGCCCUGGGACCUGCAGUGGGUUCAACCAUGUUGUCACAUGUGUAUUGGCUAUUUGGAUAUACUGUUUCCUGUACCCAUUCAAACAAAAAGAACAGCAAGAAGCAAUUGAACACAUUGAUGAAGUUCAAAAUGAAAUAGGUAACAUUUUUCUUAAUAUACUUUGGAUAAAUUUUCUGAGAUGUGUCUAAUGGCCCGGUAAUCAUUGAAGCUGUGGUCAAAUAUAUCCACUGUCACACUGUCAAAGUGGAAAUGAUUCUAACUUGGUUGGAAACAUUUAUGUAGAUUCAGUGUUUUUUGGUGAAGUGAUUGUACAAAGUUUUUGAUGAAAGUACAUUGACCUUACAAGGUUUGGGUUUGCUUUCAAAGACUAAAAAUUGUCUGAAUCGCAUAUUCAUCAUCACAAUAAAAAUAUGGAACUGUUCCAAUGCCACAAAAAUUCUCCAUGUUGCUCCCACCCCCAUUCUUAAUCCCUGGCAACUAUUAAUCGGCUCUUUAUUUCCAAAAUUUUGUCAUUUUUAAAGUGAAAAGCCUAUCCUUCUUCUACUUUUUGGUUUUUUGUCCUAAAAAUUAAUGGUACAUAUUUGUGGGACUUUGUUCCUACAUUUUCUAUUGUGUUCCACUGAGCUGUAUGUCUACCCUUCUACCAAUAUGGCACUGUCUUGACUACUACAGUCAUAUGAUAAGACUUAACAUUGGAUAGAGUAAUUUCCCCCAACUUUUUAUUAUUUAUAAAGAUUGCUUUAGCUAUUCUAGGGUCUGUUCCUUUCCACAUAAAUUUUAUGUAACCUUGUCUAUGUCUACGCAAAACUUUUGAUGGGGCACUGGCAGGAACCACACUAAACUGAUAGAUAUGAGAAGAACUGAUAUACUUAUUAUGUGAACUCUUCUAAUCAAUAGACAAGAUAGGACUUUUUGUUUAUUUAGAUCUUCUUUUGGCUUCUUCAUCAGAAUUUUAUAACUUCCAGUAUAUAUACAUUCCUUGUUUCAUUAAGUGAAUACCUAAGCAU
rnacentral:lncRNA from 1 species